rnacentral:rRNA from 1 species
GGGACACGUGGUAUCCUGUCUGAAUAUGGGGGGACCAUCCUCCAAGGCUAAAUACUCCUGACUGACCGAUAGUGAACCAGUACCGUGAGGGAAAGGCGAAAAGAACCCCGGCGAGGGGAGUGAAAAAGAACCUGAAACCGUGUACGUACAAGCAGUGGGAGCACGCUUAGGCGUGUGACUGCGUACCUUUUGUAUAAUGGGUCAGCGACUUAUAUUCUGUAGCAAGGUUAACCGAAUAGGGGAGCCGAAGGGAAACCGAGUCUUAACUGGGCGUUAAGUUGCAGGGUAUAGACCCGAAACCCGGUGAUCUAGCCAUGGGCAGGUUGAAGGUUGGGUAACACUAACUGGAGGACCGAACCGACUAAUGUUGAAAAAUUAGCGGAUGACUUGUGGCUGGGGGUGAAAGGCCAAUCAAACCGGGAGAUAGCUGGUUCUCCCCGAAAGCUAUUUAGGUAGCGCCUCGUGAAUUCAUCUCCGGGGGUAGAGCACUGUUUCGGCAAGGGGGUCAUCCCGACUUACCAACCCGAUGCAAACUGCGAAUACCGGAGAAUGUUAUCACGGGAGACACACGGCGGGUGCUAACGUCCGUCGUGAAGAGGGAAACAACCCAGACCGCCAGCUAAGGUCCCAAAGUCAUGGUUAAGUGGGAAACGAUGUGGGAAGGCCCAGACAGCCAGGAUGUUGGCUUAGAAGCAGCCAUCAUUUAAAGAAAGCGUAAUAGCUCACUGGUCGAGUCGGCCUGCGCGGAAGAUGUAACGGGGCUAAACCAUGCACCGAAGCUGCGGCAGCGACGCUUAUGCGUUGUUGGGUAGGGGAGCGUUCUGUAAGCCUGUGAAGGUGUACUGUGAGGUAUGCUGGAGGUAUCAGAAGUGCGAAUGCUGACAUAAGUAACGAUAAAGCGGGUGAAAAGCCCGCUCGCCGGAAGACCAAGGGUUCCUGUCCAACGUUAAUCGGGGCAGGGUGAGUCGACCCCUAAGGCGAGGCCGAAAGGCGUAGUCGAUGGGAAACAGGUUAAUAUUCCUGUACUUGGUGUUACUGCGAAGGGGGGACGGAGAAGGCUAUGUUGGCCGGGCGACGGUUGUCCCGGUUUAAGCGUGUAGGCUGGUUUUCCAGGCAAAUCCGGAAAAUCAAGGCUGAGGCGUGAUGACGAGGCACUACGGUGCUGAAGCAACAAAUGCCCUGCUUCCAGGAAAAGCCUCUAAGCAUCAGGUAACAUCAAAUCGUACCCCAAACCGACACAGGUGGUCAGGUAGAGAAUACCAAGGCGCUUGAGAGAACUCGGGUGAAGGAACUAGGCAAAAUGGUGCCGUAACUUCGGGAGAAGGCACGCUGAUAUGUAGGUGAAGCGACUUGCUCGUGGAGCUGAAAUCAGUCGAAGAUACCAGCUGGCUGCAACUGUUUAUUAAAAACACAGCACUGUGCAAACACGAAAGUGGACGUAUACGGUGUGACGCCUGCCCGGUGCCGGA